UAUUUUCAUUUUUGGGUGAACUAACCCUUUAAGUACAUAGCCAGCCAGCGUUCAAAAUUAUCUCCUUAUCUUAGCCAGUUUCACAACGGUAAGCUUGUAAUAAUGUUUUAAUAAUGUUUAAUUUGUGUGGUACUGGUAGAUUUCCGCGGGAAAUUUGCCUUCGCGUCAUUACAUUAUAUCUGAACACAUAAAGAAGGAGUCCCGGAUGCUGCAGGUGGCAGUCAUUUGUAGCCACUUUUAACAGCAGUUGGAAUAAUUAAACUUGUCAUUUUGAUGGCGGAUUGUAAUCAAGAAAGGUAAAAACGACCAUCAUAUUGACAACUGGUGAAUCAUCAGUGGUAAAAAGCAAAAGAGUUUGGACUGCGGAGUGGCUACAGCAAAAAAGGGAAUGCGACCGGCCCGUGCUUUUGGAAAGUGAACUCAGUGUUUUGAAUAGGUUAAAACUGACGCACAGAUUGCUUGGACAGUUAAUGUACAUGGUUACCAAGGAGACAAGAAUGUCAGUAAAAAGCUGAGACAAUGUGAGACAUGCAUGUGAAGAACAAGAAUAAUCAAGAUGCUUUCUCAUCCUCACCUACAUCUAUCCUUACACCUGACCAGAAUGUUGACUUUGAGCCUGUGAGAAAUGUUUGUGCUGUCUGCUAAUUAAAUAUGUCAUAGUUUUGAUCAGAAUACAUUACAUCAGUCAAAUCACAUCUGAAAAUCCUGCAUACACAGAGGUUCGGGACUCCACGAAGCCCCAGUGUGGCUUGCCAUUGGAAAUAACUGACUUCAGGUCUCUAGCUGUUUGCUGUAAGUAGUGAAAAGGUGGUUUAAAUUGCUUGCUUAUAGCUAAGAUGGGAUGGGAGAAAAUAUUUUAACAUUGAAAAAUUACACACAUUACUUUUAAGUGGUUCUUUGUUUAUCCGCUGUAGGGAAAAGGACAGAUGGCAUUUAAAUAAGAUUACUCAGUCUUAGUGUUUUUGUAAACUGUGUCUGCUUUAUGGUAGGAACACACACACACAGAGAGAGAGAGA